GUGCCAGCAGCCGCGGUAAUACGUAGGUCCCGAGCGUUAUCCGGAUUUAUUGGGCGUAAAGCGAGCGCAGGCGGUUAGAUAAGUCUGAAGUUAAAGGCUGUGGCUUAACCAUAGUACGCUUUGGAAACUGUUUAACUUGAGUGCAGAAGGGGAGAGUGGAAUUCCAUGUGUAGCGGUGAUACGCGUAGAUAUAUGGAGGAACACCGGUGGCGAAAGCGGCUCUCUGGUCUGUAACUGACGCUGAGGC
rnacentral:rRNA from 1 species